CCUACGGGAGGCAGUAGUCGAGAAUCAUUCACAAUGGGGGAAACCCUGAUGGUGCGACGCCGCGUGGGGGAAUGAAGGUCUUCGGAUUGUAAACCCCUGUCAUGUGGGAGCAAAUGAAAAAGAUAGUACCACAAGAGGAAGAGACGGCUAACUCUGUGCCAGCAGCCGCGGGAAUACAGAGGUCUCAAGCGUUGUUCGGAAUCACUGGGCGUAAAGCGUGCGUAGGCUGUUUCGUAAGGCGUGUGUGAAAGGCGCGGGCUCAACCCGCGGACGGCACAUGAUACUGCGAGACUAGAGUAAUGGAGGGGGAACCGGAAUUCUCGGUGUAGCAGUGAAAUGCGUAGAUAUCGAGAGGAACACUCGUGGCGAAGGCGGGUUCCUGGACAUUAACUGACGCUGAGGCACGAAGGCCAGGGGAGCGAAAGGGAUUAGAUACCCUUGUAGUC
rnacentral:rRNA from 1 species